UUCUAGAACUAGACACCAGGUUCAGCCCACACUCCAUUGCAGAACUUGUAACCAGCCGAUCAUACAUUUUCAAUGAUUCUGCUCACAUAACAGUAAGGACACUGGAAGUCACACAGUGAUAUGAAUAGCAACCAGGAACGUUUCAUUACUGGGUCAAACUGGAUUAAUACGUUGCUUUAUUUAGGUUCUCUUUGAAAGGGAAAACCGCACAACCUUUAACUCGUGGCUUUUAUGACGAAUUCUAAAGUUCAACGAAAUGCAGGAAUCAGCAGCUAUUAGUGGUGAGUCACUUACGCCAUGAUGCCUGAGAGGUGGAACAUUUCAGCAGUGAUGUAGGACAAGUAGCUGUACAGGAAGACAAAAAGCGGCUCAAUGACCCGGAUGUUGUGUGUGAAACGGGUGGUGAACGCUGCUAUGAAUCCCAGGAGGACGCCAAUCAGCACCCCACCAAUCCCCACUACGAAGAAGUUAGCGAUGCCAGCAAACACGUCUACGGUCUGGAUGGUUUUCAUCUGACAGAAAGACUUGAAUAAGUUGUACAGGACCUGGGGGGAUGAGAAAGCACACUGUCAGUUCUGGGGCUGGAGCCUUGUCAGCGGUGAAAGUGCUUGUCACACAAGCAUGGGGAUCAAGGUUUGAAUGCCCAGCACCACUGCAAAUUCUGAGUUAGCACGGAGGCCUGCUUGUAAUCUCAGGGGAAAGAGAUGGGACCUCAGAAGCCAGCUGCCAUUGGUCCAGCUUUGAGAUCUUGCCUCUGUUAAAAAAAAAAUAAAGAGUGGAGAAUGGUGAA